rfam:Echinococcus granulosus EG_S00045, whole genome shotgun sequence.
GUCGGUUAUGGCGAUAUGCGGCCAGUGACAGUUGGAGGAAAGUUAGUAGGUUCAUUGUGCGCUAUCGCUGGUGUUCUAACUAUCGCCCUCCCUGUUCCUGUUAUUGUGUCAAAC